UAGCUGGAGGAACUAAAAUCAUG
rnacentral:piRNA from 1 species